rnacentral:rRNA from 1 species
AGAGUUUGAUCAUGGCUCAGGACGAACGCUGGCGGUGCGCCUUAUGCAUGCAAGUCGAGCGAAGCUUUUCAGUAGUUUACUACAGAAAAUGACUGAGCGGCGAACGGGUGAGUAACGCGUGAGCAACCUACCUUAGUUACUGGGAUAGCCCGAGGAAACUCGGAUUAAUACCGGAUAUUCUUAUUUAAUCACAUGAUUUUUUAAGGAAAGGUCAGCCGAACUAAGAUGGGCUCGCGUUCUAUCAGCUAGUUGGUAGGGUAAUGGCCUACCAAGGCUACGACGGAUAGCUGGUCUGAGAGGACGAUCAGCCACACUGGGACUGAGACACGGCCCAGACUCCUACGGGAGGCUGCAGCAGGGAAUAUUGCGCAAUGAGCGAAAGCUUGACGCAGCGACACCGCGUGUGGGAUGACGGAUCUAGGUUUGUAAACCACUUUCAGGAGGGAAGAAAAUGACGGUACCUCCACAAGAAGCCCCGGCCAACUACGUGCCAGCAGCCGCGGUAAUACGUAGGGGGCGAGCGUUGUCCGGAUUUAUUGGGCGUAAAGAGCUCGUAGGCGGUUCAACAAGUCGGUCGUGAAAGUUCAGGGCUCAACCCUGAAAUGUCGAUCGAUACUGUUGUGACUAGGAUACGGUAGAGGUGAGUGGAAUUCCGAGUGUAGCGGUGAAAUGCGUAGAUAUUCGGAGGAACACCAAUUGCGAAGGCAGCUCACUGGGCCGCUAUCGACGCUGAGGAGCGAAAGCUAGGGGAGCAAACAGGAUUAGAUACCCUGGUAGUCCUAGCUGUAAACGAUGGAUACUAGACGUAGGAAUUGGAUUAACGAUUUCUGUGUCGUAGCUAACGCGUUAAGUAUCCCGCCUGGGGAGUACGGUCGCAAGACUAAA